AAGCUUUAUAUCUCCUGAUCUUACUACAAUGACAGGACAACAAGCAGCACUGAAGAUGUCAUCCAGAAGUCAGUUCCAGAAGAAAAUUUCUAUGAUCCUCAGAAAUCCAGUCUGCUAUACUGAUAUGUGUGACCAAUAUGGAGCUUCAGGUAUUGUGAACACAGACUGUCUACAAGUCCCAUUAUUCCUGUAGAAUACAACAUUGAGGCCCCUCUAGAAAGAACCUCAGCCACCUUCUUUAUUGAUUACAUUACAUUAUGGCAAGGGCAAGGCAAGUCAGGUGUGUGG
rnacentral:lncRNA from 1 species